AACGAACGCUGGCGGCAUGCCUAACACAUGCAAGUCGAACGAGACCUUCGGGUCUAGUGGCUCACGGGUGCGUAACGCGUGGGAAGCUGCCCAUAGGUUCGGAAUAACUCCCCGAAAGGGGUGCUAAUACCGGAUAAUGUCUACGGACCAAAGAUUUAUCGACUUUGGAUGGGCCCGCGUGGGAUUAGCUAGUUGGUAUGGUAAAAGCCUACCAAGGCGACGAUCCAUAGCUGGUCUGAGAGGAUGAUCAGCCACACUGGGACUGAGACGCGGCCCAGACUCCUACGGGAGGCAGCAGUGGGGAAUAUUGGACAGUGGGCGGAAGGCUGAUCCAGCUAGGCCGCGUGAGUGAUGAAGUCCGUAGAGUUGUAAAGCUCUUUUACCCGGGAUGAUAAUGACAGUACCGGAAGAAUAAGCUCCGGCUAACUCCGUG
rnacentral:rRNA from 1 species